UACGAAGGGGACUAGCGUUGUUCGGAAUUACUGGGCGUAAAGGGCGCGUAGGCGGCCGCCUAAGUCAGACGUGAAAUCCCUCGGCUCAACCGGGGAACUGCGUCUGAUACUGGGUGGCUUGAAUUCGGGAGAGGGAUGCGGAAUUCCAGGUGUAGCGGUGAAAUGCGUAGAUAUCUGGAGGAACAUCGGUGGCGAAGGCGGCAUCCUGGACCGAUAUUGACGCUGAGGCGCGAAAGCCAGGGGAGCAAACGGG
rnacentral:rRNA from 1 species